rnacentral:sRNA from 1 species
AUUGGACAAACGCCGUUUAAGUUUGGAGUACGUGGCAUAGUCAAUGUAUUAUUUUAAAUAAGUGGCAGUUGAUACAUGAUUAAUGUGUAUUUUAUAAUUUCUAAAUUAAAAAAUUAAGGGUAAAUUGGGAAAAGGAAAUUAAAGGCAGUGACUCUUUCUGCAAUUGAGGAAUGAAAUUAGGGUUCGUGAGAGAAAGUUGAAGGAGGCGGAGCCGACGAAGGAGUUGAAGUUCGCCUUGGAGGAUCUUCCAGCAAGCUGGUUCUCGAGGUCAGCGAGUGUUCUGAGAUGUUGUUGCGGAAGAGCAGGAUGAAGGAGGCGUGCUUGGAGGCGAAGAGGUUGAGGUAGAAGGUCUUGAGGAGUGUGUGGCAGGGGUCGGUGGUGCCUUGGAAGACGCAGACGUGGUUGGGGUUUUGAAUUUUUGUUGUGAUUCUGGAAAAGUUUUUGGAGAUGGAAGGUUUUCAUGCCUAGAUAGUAGACGAGAAGAUGAAGGAUAACAUUCCAGGAAUAAUUUGGUUACCAGAGAAGAUGAAGGAUAGUAUUCCAAGAAUAAUGUUUGGUGUUGACAGUGUUUUUUGACCUUUCCAUG